UCGAGCACCUUCAGCAUCUAAAUUAUAGUUUGGAAAAACAUCUUUAGUGACGGACUAGGCCCAAGUCCUUUAGAAAGGGGCAUCAGAGAGGGUGAGAGCAAAUAGGAACCAAAUGGGGGCUAGCAAUAAGCCUUGUUCAGAUAUGGAAUGGCAAGAGUUGAUCAUCGAUUGGCUCAGGGAGUGAAGCGAUGUGUGUCGUAGUGAUAGCCCAGGUUAGACUUUUGAUAUGCCCAUGGAGACAUCAUCAUUGUGAUCAUGGAAUGUGACAUGCGCCAUCUCGGUAUGCCUUAUCAUCAGCAUGCUGGUAGCAUGUGCUUGUGGGCUUCCAAUCUGACUUGUCUUGAAACAUGUACUAAGAAGUUUGACAUGUAUACGAGUCAACAAGCUAGAAAACCCAUAAGGCAUAAUGAAGCUUAUUGGCAAGAUCCUUCAUAGGUGUACCUCUGACUGACCUUAACCUUUUGAAAAGGGUUUGAGUGUGAGCAUACCUAUUGAGAUCCAAAACAUGGUGAACUAUUGUUGAGCAGGGCAAAGCUAGACGAAACUCUAGUGGAGGCCUGCAGUGAUACUUAUGUGCAAAUCAUUUGUCAGACUUAGGAAUAGGGGCAAAAGUCUAAUUGAACUAUCUAAUAGCUGGUUCUUUUCUAAGUAUCCUUUAGGAUAACUAGAGCCCUUAACGAGUUUUAUUGGGUAAAGCCAAUGAUUAGAGGCAUUGGAGGUGCAACGCCCUCAACCUAUUUUCAAACUUUAAAUAGGUAAGAUGGAGCAACUGCUUCAUUGAGUUGCACCGUGGAAUUGAGAGCUCUAAGUGGGCCAUUUUUGGUAAGCAAAAUUAGCGAUAUGGGAUGAAUCAAAAGUUGGGUUAGAAUGCCCAACUGUGCACUAACCUAAAACCCACAAAGGGUGUUGGUCAAUUAAGACAGCAAGAUAGUAGUCAUCGAAGUCAAAAUCCACUAAGGAGUAUGUAACAACUCACCUGCCAAAUCAACUAGCUUUGAAAAUGGAUGGCCUUUAAAUGUGUGACCUAUAACCAGUAGUCAAGGCAAGGGCUAGGCCCCAAUGAGUAGAAAGGCACUGUGGUCACCAUAAAACCCAAGGUGGAAUGGCUAUCGAUGCAGAUCUUGGUGGUAGUAGCAAAUAUUCAAAUGAAAACUUUAAAGGUUGAAGAGGGGGAAGACUCCAUGUGAAUGGCACUAACACAUAGAUUAGAAUAUCCUAAAAGAUGGGGAAAACCCAUCCAAUAGUGCAUCCAGCAUGAGCUUCAAAAGGGAAUUAGGUUAAAAUUCUUGAAUUGAGAUGCGACAGCUAAUGGCAACAUUAAUAAGUCUGGAGACAUUGAUAAGGGCCUCGAGAAGAGUUAUCUUUUCUAUUUAAUAGCUUGCCCACCCUAGAAACAACUUAGCUGGUGAAAGGGUCUAACAAUCGAAAGAACACUGCACGUUCAUAGUGUUUGAUGUAUCCCUAGUAGCCCUUGAAAAUCUAAAGGAUUGAGUACUAUCUGCACCUAGUUGUACUCAUAGUUGCAUCAAGUCCCCAAGGUGAACAAGUUUUGGUUGAUUGAACAAUAUAGGCAAGGGAAGUUGGAAAAAUAGAUUUAUAACCUCGAGAAAAAGAUUUGCUCUGAGGGCUAGGCAUGAGGUCCCCAAUCCUAAACCUAUUGGCUACCAUUACAUUGCACAUGCUAUUCCCAUAAUGAAAAUGGGUCACCAUAUGCUAAUCAAGGGACAAACUGGGAAUGACUCCCUUAGAGGCUUUCCCUAGGCUAUAUGAACAAUUGGCUCAAAACUGGUAUGGAUAAAGGGAUUUUGAUUAUUUAAUUAAAACAAAGAAUUACAAUGGUUCCUGCAGAUGCUCACACAAUGUGAUUUCUACCCAGUGCUUCGAAUGUCAAAGUGAAAAAAUUCAACCAAGUGUAGGUAAAUAGCCGGAGUAACUAUAACUCUCUUAAGGUAGCCAAAUGCCUCAUCAUCUAAUUAGUUACACAUAUGAAUGAAUUAAUGAGAUUCGUAUUGUCCUUGUCAACUAUCCAAUGAAGCCACAGCCAAGGGAACAAGCUUGGCAAAAUCAAUGGGGAAAGAAGACCUUGUUAAGCUUAACACUAGUCUAACUUUGUGAAAUAACUUGAGAGGAGUAGGAUAAGUGGAACCCCUCAAGUGAAAUUGAAAUAACACUACUUUUAACAUUAUUUUACUUAUUAAAUGAAUUGGAGGUGGGGCACGACCCCUUCUUUUGGACCUAAGGCUGGCUUCAGUCAAUCAAUCUGGGCAAAAGGCAUUGUUAGGUGGAGAGUUUGCCUAGGCCAGCACAUUUGUUAAAAGAUAACGUAGGUGUCCUAAAAUGAGCUUAACGAAAACAUAAAUCUUGUGCCGAACAAAAAGGUAAAAGCUCUUUUGAUUUUGAUUUCUAGUACGAAUACAAAUUGUGAAAGCAUGACCAAUCAAUCCUUUAGACCUUCAAAAUUUGAAGCUAGAGGUGUCAGAAUAGUUGCCAUAAGGAUAACUAGCUUGUGGUAGCCAAGCAUUCAUAGUGAUGUUGGUUUUUGAUCCUUUAAUGUUGGCUCUUCCUAUCAUUGCAAAGUAGAAUUCACCAUGUGUUGGAUUGUUCACCCACCAGUAGGGAAUGUAAGUUGGGUUUAAACUAUCAUGAGACAGGACCAUACUAAUGGUAACAUCACAAUAGUAAUUCAACCUAGUACGAGAGGAACCAUUGAUUCCCAUAAUUGGUCAUCGCAUUUAGUUGAAAAGCUACUUGCAUGAAACUACCAUGCAUUGGAUUAUGACUGAACACCUUUAACUUAGAAUCUGGGCUAGAAGCAAUGCAUGCACCUGUCACUCGAUUGUUGACCCAUAGUAUGGGCCCAUGGCCCCCAAGGGCAUAUGUCAUAGGUGCAACCUCACAGAGGACAAGCCUUACAAGCCUUUUUAGGGCUCAAUUCCCAUCGAGCUGUGGGUAAAAUCC
rnacentral:rRNA from 1 species